ACUCAAAGGAAUUGACGGGGACCCGCACAAGCGGUGGAGCAUGUGGUUUAAUUCGAGGCAACGCGAAGAACCUUACCAGCCCUUGACAUGGGUAGUAUGGAUUUCAGAGAUGAUUUCCUUCAGUUUGGCUGGCUACCACACAGGUGCUGCAUGGCUGUCGUCAGCUCGUGUCGUGAGAUGUUGGGUUAAGUCCCGCAACGAGCGCAACCCUCGUCUUUAGUUGCCAUCAGGUUAAGCUGGGCACUCUAAAGAAACUGCCGGUGAUAAGCCGGAGGAAGGUGGGGAUGACGUCAAGUCUUCAUGGCCCUUAUGGGCUGGGCUACACACGUGCUACAAUGGCGGUGACAAUGCGCUGCUACCUCGCGAGGGGAAGCGAAUCGCAAAAAGCCGUCUCAGUUCGGAUUGUUCUCUGCAACUCGAGAGCAUGAAGUUGGAAUCGCUAGUAAUCGUGGAUCAGCAUGCCACGGUGAAUACGUUCCCGGGUCUUGUACACACCGCCCGU
rnacentral:rRNA from 1 species